CCCCAUAAUUUCCUCAUUUAAUUUGGUGUGUGACAUUAAAGGAAAAACGUGGAAAAUAAAGAGAUUUGUUAAGAGUCUUAAGGAAGGACUUUUCCUUUUCUUAAUGCAAAAGAGAGGUGGCGGCAUUUAUUUUUUGGCAUGAAGCCUGAGUGGCAUGGAGGUCUCCUUCCACACUUGAAACUCUUCUACAUUGGGUAGGAGUCUAAUUAAAAUAGAUCCAAUCUAAUUAGAUCAAAAGCAACAGUUUAGCUCAAACACUUUGACUUGACCUAAUUAGGAAUUUGAGUUAACACAAUGUGUUA
rnacentral:lncRNA from 1 species